UUUAAAGAGCAGAUCACACAGGCACUCCUCUCAGUUGGCAGCAGGAUCAGGGAAAUUCUGGAAUUUGAAAUGUUGGAAAUUUCUUGGCUUUGAUGGGAUUUUGCAUUUGCAUCAGGGGAACCCCUGCCUCUCUGAACCAUUGUUAUUUAAAAUCAAAGCGAAGCAAAUCAGAAGGCAUUUACGGAGUAACAGAGGUGAUGUUUCAGGAUGAAGAUAAAAAGCAUUGUGAUGAAGAGGGAGAAGCUGGAAGCUACAUGUGAUACUUGAAAACAUAACCAGGAGAUAAUGAGAACUCAGAUGCUGGAGAUUCAAAGUGAAUAAAGAGAGGAGCUGGAAAAAAGCACAGCAGGUCAGGCAACACCAGAGGAGAAGGGGAGUCAACGUUUCAGAUUGGAACCUUUCAUCAGGACAAGCCUUGAACACAUAGCCAUACUGGCGGAGAGUGCAAUACCCAACCAUAGAUUUAUCACCUCCUGUCUCAAUCCAAUCCUUCUCUUAUUUGCACAGGUGCUCUGAAGAAUCAAACAACCCAUGACUCUCAUCAGUAUUUUAUUUGCUCAUGAUGGGUAGGGUGGAGCGUUAUUGACAGCCCACAUUGUUAUCCUUCCCAUGUACUGAGGUGAUGAUGAACUGAUCACAUCGAUGGUGCAGCUAUUGUCUUUCUAAGUAUGUAGCUUCAGAAGGCCUCAAAGGUGUCCUGAUGUGAAAUGAGAACUAUGUAUGGAGAUAUCAGAUAGAGUGGCUGUUCACCUGCUUGAAGAAUGGACUGUCAGCAUUCACACUGUUGUCCUUCUUUUUCCCAAUGGCAAACUGAGACUUACCUGAUUCAUUACAUGAAUGUAUUUAAGUGUGUGAUCUAUGUGUAGCGUAAAGGGUUAAUAUAAAUGAUGAUGGAAACAUUGCUAAAGAUAAUAGUCUGCACAGAUGGCUGAGGCAGAAGCAUCAAUCAGUACCUGGGCAGACACAGUUCUAACCCAGAAUUCAGAA